UAUUCUUUUAGUAUAAAAAGUAUAUUUAAUUUCCAAUUAAAAGGUUUAAAUUUAAAAGAAUAA
rnacentral:tRNA from 1 species